UAACGUAGGGUGCGAGCGUUGUCCGGAAUUAUUGGGCGUAAAGAGCUUGUAGGCGGUUUGUCGCGUCUGCUGUGAAAAUCCGGGGCUCAACCCCGGACUUGCAGUGGGUACGGGCAGACUAGAGUGUGGUAGGGGAGACUGGAAUUCCUGGUGUAGCGGUGGAAUGCGCAGAUAUCAGGAAGAACACCCGUGGCGAAGGCGGCUCUCUGGAACGCAACUGACGCUGAGACGCGAAAGCGUGGGGGAGCAAACGG
rnacentral:rRNA from 1 species